CCUACGGGAGGCAGCAGUGGGGAAUAUUGCACAAUGGGGGAAACCCUGAUGCAGCGACGCCGCGUGAGUGAAGAAGUAUUUCUGUAUGUAAAGCUCUAUCAGCAGGGAAGAAGAAAGACGGUACCUGACUAAGAAGCCCCGGCUAACUACGUGCCAGCAGCCGCGGUAAUACGUAGGGGGCAAGCGUUAUCCGGAUUUACUGGGUGUAAAGGGAGCGUAGACGGCUGUGCAAGUCUGAAGUGAAAGCCCAGGGCUCAACCAUGGGACUGCUUUGGAAACUAGUGAGCUAGAGUGCUGGAGAGGUAAGUGGAAUUCCUAGUGUAGCGGGGAAAUGCGUAGAUAUUAGGAGGAACACCAGUGGCGAAGGCGGCUUACUGGACAGUAACUGACGUUGAGGCUCGAAAGCGUGGGGAGCAAACAGGAUUAGAUACCCGAGUAGUG
rnacentral:rRNA from 1 species